rnacentral:rRNA from 1 species
UUGGGAAUAUUGGACAAUGGAGGAAACUCUGAUCCAGUGACGCCGCGUGAAGGAAGAAGGUCUUCGGAUUGUAAACUUAUUUUGUCUGGGAAGAAACAAAUGACUGUACCAGAUGAAUAAGCACCGGCUAACUACGUGCCAGCAGCCGCGGUAAUACGUAGGGUGCAAGCGUUAUCCGGAUUUACUGGGUGUAAAGGGCGAGUAGACGGUGAUGCAAGUCAGAUGUGAAAUGCUAGGGCUCAACCUUAGAACUGCAUCUGAAACUGCAUUACUAGAGUGCAGGAGAGGUAAGCGGAAUUCCUAGUGUAGCGGUGAAAUGCGUAGAUAUUAGGAAGAACACCAGUGGCGAAGGCGGCUUACUGGACUGUAACUGACGUUGAGGAGCGAAAGUGUGGGGAGCAAACAGG